UCAAUGAGAAGAUACCUAAUUAUGAUAAGGCCUAUAAAAGCCACGCCGCUUCAGAUAAUAUAGUGUUAAUAGAUUUCGAGAGAUAUAUACAGUCUAAAAAUGGCGAUAAAGAUAAGCGUCUGUGUUUUUCUGGUUAUUAUAGCUCAAGCCUGUUGUCAAAGAGAAAAACUGGCAUCCCAUUUAAAAGAUGUUGCUAAAUCAGUACAUGAAAUAAUCCCAGAUAAUCCAAAGGAAUCGACUUCAGUGAAAGUAAACCUCCACCUAUUAAAUAUUGUUGAUUAUAACCCCAAGAAUCAAGUGUUGGAUUUGACGGCAUGGUUAUCACUUAAUUGGGACGAUGCAAGAUUUGCUUGGGACCCUGAAGAUUACGGUGGCAUUAGAAAAUCUAAUAUUCCUGCUGCUUACAUAACACAGCCCGACUUCAAGUUGUUUAAUGGAGCCCGACACGGUAUGACCGUAGAUGCUGAUAUUAAUUGUGUAAUUUACAAUACUGGAAACAUUUUCUGUAUACCCCUUGUCGAUAUUGAGAGUUUCUGCCCGAAUACCAACCCAACAGGAGAUACCUUCAAUUGCAGUAUUAAAUUUGGUUCUUGGGCUUAUCCUUGUAACCAGUUAAAUAUUACUCGGACUGAAUCCUACGUUGAUGUAACUGAUUUUCAGGGCGGUUGGAGGUGGGAACUUGUUGAGUCUUCCUCGAGUGUCACUGAAAAAGUGUUUCCGUGUUGUUCCGACAUCUAUUGUUUUGUCGAAAUUGCUCUGAAGGUAAAGGACCAGUCUAGAACGCCACGUGGUAGAUGGUACUUUCAGUAAUCAAUCAAGCCCUAUUAGGUGAUACUUUAUAGUCACAAGUUCGUGCAAUAAACAGUGUACCAGAUGGUACGAUACUUUUGAAAGCCAUUACCAACCCACCUUAUUGAAAGGUUGCUCUAUUCUCAUGCAUGCCUGUGCUAAUCAAACUAAUAUUUACCAAUGUCAUGUUCUGACAUUAGUUAUAUUCUACUCUGAAAUCAGUCAUGUACAUACUAUGUUAUUAAAAUAACCUCAAAACUAAA